rnacentral:lncRNA from 10 species
CUGCAAGUCACCAUGGACGCUGAAGCAGGCGGUGCGGGCGGCCAGACAGGCGGCUGACUUCACUCUGAAGGUGGAAGUGGAAUGCAGCAGCCUGCAGGAGGCCGUGCAGGCAGCUGAGGCUGGUGCCGACCUUGUCCUGCUGGACAACUUCAAGCCAGAGGAGCUGCACCCCACGGCCACCGUGCUGAAGGCCCAGUUCCCGAGUGUGGCUGUGGAAGCCAGUGGGGGCAUCACCCUGGACAACCUCCCCCAGUUCUGCGGGCCGCACAUAGACGUCAUCUCCAUGGGGAUGCUGACCCAGGCGGCCCCAGCCCUUGAUUUCUCCCUCAAGCUGUUUGCCAAAGAGGUGGCUCCAGUGCCCAAAAUCCACUAGUCCUAAACCGGAAGAGGAUGACACCGGCCAUGGGUUAACGUGGCUCCUCAGGACCCUCUGGGUCACACAUCUUUAGGGUCAGUGGCCAAUGGGGCACAUUUGGCACUAGCUUGAGCCCAACUCUGGCUCUGCCACCUGCUGCUCCUGUGACCUGUCAGGGCUGACUUCACCUCUGCUCAUCUCAGUUUCCUAAUCUGUAAAAUGGGUCUAAUAAAGGAUCAACCACAUGGGGUUCUGCGGUGAUAAUGAGCACAUAGUGAGGGGUCAGCAAAUGUCAGAAGUUACCUGGGACAGCCGGGCACGAUGGCUCACACCUGUAAUCCCAGCACUUUGGGAGGCUGAGGCGGGAAGAUCACUUGAGUUCAGGAGUUUGAGACCAGCCUGGCCAACAUGGUGAAACCCCAUCUCUACCAAAAAUAGAAGAAUUAGCUGGGUGUGGUGGCACGCGCCUGUAAUCCCAGCUACUUAGGAGGCUGAGGCAGGAGAAUCGCUUGAACCCAGGAAGUGGAGGUUGCAGUGAGCUGAUGGUGCCACUGCACUCCAGCCUGGGUGAUAGAGCGAGACUCUGUCUCCAAAGAAGAAACAAAGGAAAGAAAGAGAGAAAGAGAGAGGGAGGGAGGGAGGGAGGGAAAGGAAGGAUGGAAAGAAAGGAAGAAAGGCAGGCAAAAGCCCCAGACAGGCCAAAACCUUCAUCCUUCAUGCACCCAACCUGUACCAAACACCAGCAUGGCCUGGCUGUGAGUGCACAGCAGAUGGAGGUUUGCUGGGCAGAGACACUGGGCUGGCCUAGACACUGCCUUUGGUGAUACCCUAAACCAAAGGGGCCAGUCCCACAGUAAGAAGGAGACCACUACUACUCCUGCUGCCCUCCUCCCCCCACCUUGCCUAGUUUACAAGACAGGAGGAAAGAGAGAAAGCAAAAAGUUAGAAAACAAAACAAAACAGAAGUAAGAUAAAUAGCCAGAAGACCUUGGCGACACCACCCGGCCCUGGUAGUUAAAAAAAAGUAACAAUAAUAAUAAUAUCAACCCCUGACCUAAACUACUUGUGUUAUCUGUAAAUUCCAGACAUUGUAUGAAAAAGCAUUGCAAAACUUUCUGCUCUGUUAGCUGAUGCGUGUAGCCCCCAGUCACGUUCCCCGCUUGCUUGAGAUAUCAUGACCCUUUCACGUGGACCCCUUAGAGUUGUAAGCCUUUAAAAAGGCCAAGAAUUUCUUUUUCAGGGAUCUCAGCUAUUAAGAUGCAAGUCUGCCAAUGCUCCUGGCCAAAUAAAC